CCUUGCAUUACUGGGACUAUUG
rnacentral:misc_RNA from 1 species